rnacentral:ncRNA from 1 species
AAACCAAUUAUAGCGCCUGUACUGAAGAACUCGGACGGACCAGUCAGUCUUCAGUAGACGAGGAGGAGGAGUAUCGAGAUUUCGGCGGAUACCUCCCGGCCGCGAAGCCCGGUCGUUAUGUGCAUGCUUAAAACAGUCGAGUGAUCGAUUGGACAACCAGCUUGCACGGGCUCACAA